rnacentral:lncRNA from 1 species
AUCCUAGCCUUCCAAUAGGUAUAAUUUGUACCAUUGAAAAAUGGUGGCCUAUUGGUGGAUUGUCCUUCACUAAGGGAGGAUCCAAAUGGGGUUGUCAUCUCAAUCUUUUACUCUUUUUAAGGAUUGGAACACCAAUCGAUAUGAGAGCACCUGCUCUGAUACCACUUGUUGCCCAAGGAGACAACCCAAGAGGAGGGGGGGGGGGUGAAUUGGGUUUUGAUUAAAUAUUGACCAAUUAAAAACUUAAUGAGUGAUUAACUAAACCUAUUGUAAGUGAAUUAGUUAGACCACUAAAUGCAAUGAGUGAAGAGAGAUGAAGAGAUAAGGACUAAUACAAACACAGAGAGGUUUAUAGUGGUUUGGAGCCAACUCUUGCUCCUACGUCCACUCCCCAAGCCAC